rnacentral:lncRNA from 1 species
UGUCGUAUGCAAUCAUCCAAUUCAAUAACGUUAGGAGAAUCUGAAGGUUAAUUUUAAGCGGACCUAAUUAACUUGGGGCAUUGAGAAUUCGUGGUUUAUUGAAAAGCAAUUGGAAAUCGUUUUGAAUGCAAGUAUAACAUGUGUGGAGAUGAACCCCUUAGCUAGCCUUCCAUCCAUUCAUUUAAACCAAAUUCGUUUUCAAAACUGUUUUGUUUUACAGAGUUUAUGUCUUGUUUUAAAUUCGUCCAAACCAAUUCCCCCUUUGUUUUAAAGUGUCAAAUUAGUUAGUAAGUGUUUUACUUUGUGUUUUUAAGUGUUUUGAUUCAAGUUAAAACCCAAAUUCGUCCAAUUUGGUGAUUAGUGUCCAAAACUGCCCAGAAAGUGGUUUUUAGGCUGUUUUGAGUCUUUUGGUUUGUUUUAGUGUUUUAGAGUUUAGUUUUGCAUUCUUUGAGUCUAGUUUAGUAUUUUAAACUUGUUUUUACGUAUUUGAGUCAAUUCCAAGUGAUUUUGCAAUCCCUCCUAAUCCCCGGUCUAGAACGAUCCCUACUUACAUACAUUGCUACAAUUGAUAAAAAGAGGUUUUAAUUUGAGUGCUAGUUAAUAUCAUACCAAAUUUUGGCGCCGUUGCCGGGGAUUAGCAACUUUGCUAAUCCCUUGGAUUGUUAUUUUCAUUUUUCUUAUUAGAUCAUAUUCUUAUGUUAUUUUGUUUUUUGUUUUAGGUACUUGUUUAUGACUCGGAGUUCUAAUCCGGUUCACGAACAUAUUUUAGACUUUGACGACGAUUUUGAGCGUUAGUUGAGACGAAAGAGGAAGAACCCGGAACCUAGUGAAUCAAGUGCAAGUUCCGAGUCCGUUUCUGAAGUUGAAGAGGAAGUAGAAGACAUGGCAGUGGACAACCGAACGAUCAAGGAGCUUUCCGCUUCGGGAUUGGAUAAUGCCGCACCUCUAUGUAUCCAAUACCCUAGGGCGGCUCAGGACAAAACUGCCGAGUUCGAAUUGAAGUCAAGCUUGUUACAUCACAUUCCGAAGUACCAUGGGCUGUCCAUGGAAGAUCCAAACAAGCACUUGAAGGAGUUUGAAGUCGUUUGCUCAAGCAUGACUCCGGUAAACGUGGACAGGAGUAUAUGGAAGAUGAAGGCUUUCCCCUUUUCUCUUAUGGAAAAGGCGAAAGAUUGGUUAUAUGAAUUAGCUCCCGGAACAGUCACAUCUUAGGAGAGCAUGAAACGGGCUUUCUUAGAGAAGUUUUUUCCAACCUCUCGAGUCAUUCUCCUACGAAAAAGGAUAAGUGGAAUUCAACAAGAAGAAGGUGAGUCUUUUCCUACAUAUUAUGAACGUUUUAAAUCUCUUGUUGCUUCUUGUCCACAACAUCAAAUGAAGGAGGAGCUUCUUCUACAAUACUUCUACGAGGGACUUCUACCAAUCGAACGACAAAUGCUAGAUGCCUCGGUGAUGCGUAAAAUAACUAAACACACAAAUUAAACCCUCUUGUUGACAAAUGUAGUAUGGAUAAGUAGGGAUCGUUCUUAAACCGGGGAUUAGGAGGGAUUGCUAAAACACUCUAAACUGACUCAAAUCUGUAAAACAAAGUUUAAAAUACUAAACUAGACUCAAAGAAUGCAAAACUAAAAUCUAAAAUACUAA